AUGAGCCGGAUAAGUUUGCUAGCUCGAUCCGGAUUGACCAUGAUCGAGGUCAUGGCCACAUUUAUUAUGCGGGGGGUGCAGCCGUUUCAGUAUAGAGGCCACCCCAUGUGGGAUUUCAACGGGGAGGAUGACGCCACCCGUUAUGGCCGUAAAGGGCCGAAAUUGGUUGCUGCUCUAAUAAAGAUCUUAUCCACUUUGUACAAGGAAGAAGAGGAGGAAUUCCUCCAUGUCAACCCGCAAGGCAGAUUUUCUAUGUACAAUCCUCCGAGCUGGGAGUUGCGCCAAGCUGUAAGGGAGAUAAACAACCCCCCUCCACAACCUGAGGACCCGGAACGGUCCCUUGACCCGGCCUCCCAAGAGGAUCCGGACAUAUCUGUGGAGCUGAUCGAUGGGGUAUUUUACCAAUUGAGCAAUGACAACACCUUGGUGGCCAUUAUGGCCGAUUACCCUGGGCUACUUCCAGCCUCACAGGUAACUGAGACCAAAGUCCCAGUACUUUGA
rnacentral:rRNA from 1 species